rnacentral:rRNA from 1 species
AUUGAACGCUGGCGGCAGGCCUAACACAUGCAAGUCGAGCGGAGCGGCGGACGGGUGGGUAAUUCCUAUGAAUCUGCCUGGUCGUGGGGGAUAACGUCCGGCAACGGGCGCUAAUACCGCCUACUUUCAGAUGAGCCUCGGUCGGAUUAGCUAGUUGGUGGGGUAAAGGCCUACCAAGGCGACGAUCCGUAGCUGGUAUGAGAGGAUGAUCAGUCACACGGGAACUGAGACACGGUCCAGACUCCUACGGGAGGCAGCAGUGGGGAAUAUUGGACAAUGGGCGAAAGCCUGAUCCAGCCAUGCCGCGUGUGUGAAGAAGGUCUUCGGAUUGUAAAGCACUUUAAGUUGGGAGGCGUUACCAACAGAAUAAGCACCGGCUAACUUCGUGCCAGCAGCCGCGGUAAUAC